AUUGAACGCUGGCGGCAUGCUUUACACAUGCAAGUCGAACGGUAACAGGCCGCAAGGUGCUGACGAGUGGCGAACGGGUGAGUAAUGCAUCGGAACGUGCCCAGUCGUUGGGGAUAACUACUCGAAAGAGUAGCUAAUACCGCAUACGAUCUAUGGAUGAAAGCGGGGGACCGUAAGGCCUCGCGCGAUUGGAGCGGCCGAUGUCAGAUUAGGUAGUUGGUGGGGUAAAGGCUCACCAAGCCAACGAUCUGUAGCUGGUCUGAGAGGACGACCAGCCACACUGGGACUGAGACACGGCCCAGACUCCUACGGGAGGCAGCAGUGGGGAAUUUUGGACAAUGGGCGCAAGCCUGAUCCAGCAAUGCCGCGUGCAGGAAGAAGGCCUUCGGGUUGUAAACUGCUUUUGUACGGAACGAAACGGCUCUGGUUAAUACCCGGGGCUAAUGACGGUACCGUAAGAAUAAGCACCGGCUAACUGCGUG
rnacentral:rRNA from 1 species